rnacentral:lncRNA from 1 species
GGCCGUGGUCAGGGACAGCCAGCACGGCUUCGCCGAGGAAAAGCGUUUUCCGUGUGUGUCAAACCCCGGAAGGACGUGGAGGCUGCCACGGGCGCAGGUUCUGCGUGUCCGGCGGGUCCUGACCGCAGCAAGCUCUGCGGGUUGACCGCCGGGCACGGACGCACAGCCACACGGGAAGAGCACGGCUAAGUCGCAAGCAGAAAUGGUGAAAUGCACAGCAAAAACUCUGUAAAGCUCUCAGCAGGCCUCAGCCGGGGGGCAAAAGGACAGUGUACGGUUCAGAAGACACUACCUACCCGACUUACGUCCUGAGGAAGAGCCCACCCUGUAAAUCCAAGGAGAUCCAAGUCGGGCUCAUAGAGGCUUCUAUGAGACACACGUGGAAGUCUGAGGUGGAAGCACGACCCUGGAUUCAACUAUUUAACAUAUACCGUGGAAUGACCCGUCGGUGCCGGGCGGUGCGGAGCCCGAAGCCCCGGUGCAGCUCACGAGCCUGGAGGAGCCGGCGCGCCCAGCGGGAGAAGGCACACAUGGCUGGAGAGCAUGCGCAGAGGGCUGGAGGAGCAUGCGCACACGGCUGGAGAGCGCGCGCAGAGGGCUGGAGAGCACGCGCACACGCCUGGACGAGCCAGCGAGAAGCCAGCCCGCCCGGCUGGAGAGCGUGCCCGCCUGGAACGAGCACGCACACGUUUGGAGAGCACGCUCUGCUGGAGAGCGCGCGUGCACGGCUGAACCGGCCCCGAGUCAGGCACCUGGACACAGGUGACAGCAGGCCCCGACGUGUCGGUGCUGGUGGGACUGCACUUCCCGUUCCGGCUGCACUUUUCAGAAGCACGUGGACAGAAGAGCGGUUCCAAACAGGCAGAUACCUCGUCACUUGAUUUCCGGAGUCUCGGUAAGGCGGCGGAAGUUUGCCGGGGAGUGAGCAUUUUGGACGUUCGGGCUGCGCUCAGGAGCCACAGACUGGGUGACGUGGGAACAACGACGUCCACUUCCUCGGUCCCGCAGGCUCGGUGUCCGAGGUCACGGCUCCAGAAGAUUCGGGGGAACCCGCUCUGGUUCCCAGAUGCCGACUUCUCGCCGUGUCCUCACGUGGUGCAGGGCCAGGGGCCGGCAGGGGUCUCUGCUGCACGGGCACCACUCCCCCAUCACGCAGGCGCCACCCUCCUGCCCUCAUCACCCGCACAGCCACGCUGGGGGGCGGGUUCAACACGUGAACUUGUGAGGACACAACUGUUUUUAGUCCAGAGCAGUAGGACAAACAUCAGUUUGACUGAGUUUGUGUGUCCAAAACAGAGUUUGGCCGGGAGAAAGGAUAUAUAUUUUAUUGGUACCUAACAGUAAGUUUACUUGAGAUGAGAAUCUUCAAUAAUAUGUGUUUAUCCCAAGAAAAACUUUUCACCAGUAAUAAACUUUUCCUUUGAAACCGGAAUUCA